UACGGAAGGCAGCAGUGGGGAAUAUUGCACAAUGGGCGCAAGCCUGAUGCAGCCAUGCCGCGUGUAUGAAAAAGGCCUUCGGGUUGUAAAGUACUUUCAGUCGUGAGGAAGGUGUUAAGGUUAAUAACCUUAGCAAUUGACGUUAGCGACAGAAGAAGCACCGGCUAACUCCGUGCCAGCAGCCGCGGUAAUACGGAGGGUGCGAGCGUUAAUCGGAAUUACUGGGCGUAAAGGGCACGCAGGCGGUUAAUUAAGUUGGAUGUGAAAUCCCCGGGCUUAACCUGGGAAUGGCAUUCAAGACUGGUUAGCUAGAGUCUUGUAGAGGGGGUAGAAUUCCAUGUGUAGCGGUGAAAUGCGUAGAGAUGUGGAGGAAUACCGGUGGCGAAGGCGGCCCCUGGACAAAGACUGACGCUCGAUGUGCGAAAGCGUGGGGAGCAAACAGGGAUUAGAUACC
rnacentral:rRNA from 1 species